rnacentral:tRNA from 1 species
GGGCCGGUAGCUCAUCUGGUAGAGCGCUGCAUUCGCAUUGCAGAGGUGGGGAGUUCGAUUCUCCUCCGGUCCA